rnacentral:rRNA from 1 species
GGAGCUUGCUCCUUUGACGUUAGCGGCGGACGGGUGAGUAACACGUGGAUAACCUACCUAUAAGACUGGGAUAACUUCGGGAAACCGGAGCUAAUACCGGAUAACAUAUUGAACCGCAGGGUUCAAUAGUGAAAGGCGGCUUUGCUGUCACUUAUAGAUGGAUCCGCGCCGUAUUAGCUAGUUGGUAAGGUAACGGCUUACCAAGGCAACGAUACGUAGCCGACCUGAGAGGGUGAUCGGCCACACUGGAACUGAGACACGGUCCAGACUCCUACGGGAGGCAGCAGUAGGGAAUCUUCCGCAAUGGGCGAAAGCCUGACGGAGCAACGCCGCGUGAGUGAUGAAGGUCUUCGGAUCGUAAAACUCUGUUAUCAGGGAAGAACAAAUGUGUAAGUAACUGUGCACAUCUUGACGGUACCUGAUCAGAAAGCCACGGCUAACUACGUGCCAGCAGCCGCGGUAAUACGUAGGUGGCAAGCGUUAUCCGGAAUUAUUGGGCGUAAAGCGCGCGUAGGCGGUUUUUUAAGUCUGAUGUGAAAGCCCACGGCUCAACCGUGGAGGGUCAUUGGAAACUGGAAAACUUGAGUGCAGAAGAGGAAAGUGGAAUUCCAUGUGUAGCGGUGAAAUGCGCAGAGAUAUGGAGGAACACCAGUGGCGAAGGCGACUUUCUGGUCUGUAACUGACGCUGAUGUGCGAAAGCGUGGGGAUCAAACAGGAUUAGAUACCCUGGUAGUCCACGCCGUAAACGAUGAGUGCUAAGUGUUAGGGGGUUUCCGCCCCUUAGUGCUGCAGCUAACGCAUUAAGCACUCCGCCUGGGGAGUACGACCGCAAGGUUGAAACUCAAAGGAAUUGACGGGGACCCGCACAAGCGG